rnacentral:lncRNA from 1 species
UUUUGUUACAUGUUGUCUUUCUUAAAGUUACAGUUUCCAGGAGGCUGUGAAUGACAUGAAGUGAGACUUACUGUAUCUGAAGAGUCCCUGAAGGAGCUUCCUGCAAUUUUCCUUAUAAGGGUCUGUUAGCUGUAGUUACCAGGUAUAAAAGAGUGGCUCUUUUUUGCAUGUGUCUAAAUAGAGACAAGUGGAAACUAGGGUAAGUAUAUGUUGGGUAAUGCUGCUUUUACGUUCCUACUGAUCCAUACCAGAUGCUCUGCACAUACUUG